GCGGAGCUCGGCGGCAGGAGCGGGAGCACGGCAGCAGCCAUGGCCGCGGGGCCUGGCCGCCGGCUGCUCGCUGGCCGGCCUUGGGACGCGGCCUUUCUGGGAUGGCGGGGAGCUGCUGUGAUCAGAGCGCAGCACCCUCUGCCUGCAGGAGCACCACCAAGGCAGGCUGAUCCCUGAAGGACAGACUCCAUUUGCAGCUGGAGGAUGGUGGGAGCUGAAAUUUUUCAUCCAGUGGCUUGUUUCGGGACAGCUUCACGAUCCAAAUGCAACUUUAAUUUUUGCAACACUAUUGGAGUCAGAGAGGACUGGAAAGACAACCACAGCCUGGAAACGGUCUCCCUUCUUCUGGAGAUUCACUGUCUCGUCUACAACCACUCGAGCAGAAGAAGCAGAAGUCCUGCACAGGCUGCUCUGUUUUGGGCACAAAAUCUUCUGGCUGAUGGUAGUAAAAUCAGUUUUGAAGUAAAAAAUAUAGUUAUGGAAGUAAUGCCUAAUGCAGGUAAUUACAAAGAGUUCAAGCUAAGGUUUUUCAAACAGUCUCUGCUGUCACAUAGCCUAUGUUUUAGGGUUUGAUUUCCCCACCUGUGCAAUAUUCUCACUCAGUGGUUGUGUAACAAGUAGACUGUCUAUCCAUUAAUGGAAAAUGAAAACACAACACACCUAAGACCCGUGUCAUAAGAAAAAAUGCCUGCACCAGCUCUAGACUAGGCUUAUAUAUGUCUUAACAUACAGGAAAGAAAAAAAAAGCAUGACUGGGCCAUUGUUUCAUCUGAAGUAUUGCAAAGUUUUUCCCAAGGAAUAAAAGCGUGUGAAGGACCCCCAUCCUGAAUGGGAUUUUUGCAACUUUUGACCCACUGCAAACAUGAGACCUCAGUCUGUGAAAAUACGGUAGGCUUAAAAAUCCAAUCAGCCUAUGGCAGUCAGGCGAGCCAAAGGAGUGGCUUUCCAUCUCCCUUUCCAUCAGGGAGGCUGGUGGUCACCUCGUGAAUGCUUCUACUGGCACAUGUGCUUGCGUGUGUGCUGUCUGCUCAGCCCUGCUCCCAGCACCUCUUGGCAGAGCCACGACAAAAAUAAAUGGAGGUGUGAAAGCCAUAUUUACACAGCCUUAAACAUACUCUGUGCAGAAGAUUUAAGGGCUUGCUGAGAGAUGGUGUGACAAGCUUCAGCAGGGAGCACGUCCUGCAGAGCCCUGAUGUCUCAUUCAGGUCAUGCCUCUCCUAUGACCUCUCCAAAGAGAAGUCUUCCUAAGGGAAGAGAUGUAGCGUGUUGUUUGGAUGUUUGAAAACAGAUAUAUAUAUAUUUGUGGGAAAAAUCCAGUGUUAAUGAAGUUUGAUCCCUAAUCUCAAUAGAGCAGGAGCAUUGCUCUCCCAGAAAUGUUCUUAACUGUUCAAAAAGUCAUUCUAAUCUCCCAGUUAGCAAAUAAAUCGUAUAUGAAAAGAAACAAACACUGUAAGCUGGGAUCCUACAAAGAAGUUACUUUAAAAAAGAAGUUGAUUUCACAUCAUUUGUCAAAAAAAAAGAAGCAAGGGUAGAAGUAUUACAUUAAGUUUUCAUUGUUUGCCAUUUAAAUAACAUCUUAGUUUGACGUACCUUUGGACAUCAGUCUUACUCUUUAUAGACUUAAUAUUAAAGCUGGAAAAACAUGAAGCUGCAAGAAAUCUUUGUGGCAAUGUACAUUCUGACUGAGAUAAGCCUGUUUUCACAUUCACAUGAUACUGACAAAACUGGAGUAACUUGUUGAUAUAUUUUGAGGACUGUCAGCCUAUUUUUCCUUCAGGAUGACUUUGGAAUUUUACGGUGAAGAGUGGCAUAAAGCAGAUAUCGAGCCAAAAGCUUGUCUUUAAUGAACAGUACUUACUACAUAAAGAAAUCAGCAUCCAUACCGCAUCUCCUUUCAAGAAAUCCCUUUUUGAUUCUAUUCUGAGUCACUGAUGGAGAACACGGGGUAUGAAUGGCAAUAAACGUCGUGAUAUAAAAUAAUAAAUACAUUUUCACUGUAAAAUAUUAUUUAGCUAGGUCUUGGAUGGUGAAUAAAAUAUUCAUGC
rnacentral:lncRNA from 7 species